rnacentral:rRNA from 1 species
GAUGAACGCUGGCGGCGUGCUUAACACAUGCAAGUCGAACGAUGAAGCCCAGCUUGCUGGGUGUAUUCGUGGCGAACGGGUGAGUAACACGUGAGUAACCUGCCCUUAACUCUGGGAUAAGCCUGGGAAACUGGGUCUAAUACCGGAUAGGAGCGUCCACCGCACGGUGGGUGUUGGAAAGAUUUAUCGGUUUUGGAUGGACUCGCGGCCUAUCAGCUUGUUGUUGAGGUAAUGGCUCACCAAGGCGACGACGGGUAGCCGGCCUGAGAGGGUGACCGGCCACACUGGGACUGAGAGACGGCCCAGACUCCUACGGGAGGCAGCAGUGGGGAAUAUUGCACAAUGGGCGCAAGCCUGAUGCAGCGACGCCGCGUGAGGGAUGACGGCCUUCGGGUUGUAAACCUCUUUCAGUAGGGAAGAAGCGAAAGUGACGGUACCUGCAGAAGAAGCACCGGCUAACUACGUG